GUCUAGUACUCAGAGUUUGAUCCUGGCUCAGGACGAACGCUGGCGGCGUGCCUAACACAUGCAAGUCGAACGGAGUUAUCCUUCGGGGUAACUUAGUGGCGAGCGGGUGAGUAACGCGUGAGGAACCUGCCUUUCAGUGGGGGACAACAGUUGGAAACGACUGCUAAUACCGCAUAAUGUUAUCGGACCGCAUGGUCUGAUAACCAAAGAUUUAUUGCUGAAAGAUGGCUUCGCGUCUGAUUAGAUAGUUGGUGGGGUAACGGCCUACCAAGUCGACGAUCAGUAGCCGGACUGAGAGGUUGAACGGCCACAUUGGGACUGAGAUACGGCCCAG
rnacentral:rRNA from 1 species